GAUGAACGCUGGCGGCGUGCCUAAUACAUGCAAGUCGAGCGAACGGACGAGAAGCUUGCUUCUCUAAUGUUAGCGGCGGACGGGUGAGUAACACGUGGAUAACCUACCUAUAAGACUGGGAUAACUUCGGGAAACCGUAGCUAAUACCGGAUAAUAUUUUGAACCGCAUGGUUCAAAAGUGAAAGACGGUCUUGCUGUCACUUAUAGAUGGAUCCGCGCUGCAUUAGCUAGUUGGUAAGGUAACGGCUUACCAAGGCAACGAUGCAUAGCCGACCUGAGAGGGUGAUCGGCCACACUGGAACUGAGACACGGUCCAGACUCCUACGGGAGGCAGCAGUAGGGAAUAUUCCGCAAUGGGCGAAAGCCUGACGGAGCAACGCCGCGUGAGUGAUGAAGGUCUUCGGAUCGUAAAACUCUGUUAUUAGGGAAGAACAUAUGUGUAAGUAACUGUGCACAUCUUGACGGUACCUAAUCAGAAAGCCACGGCUAACUACGUG
rnacentral:rRNA from 1 species